UGGGGAAUCAUGGUCAAUGGGCGAAAGCCUGAACCUGCGACGCCGCGUGAGUGAUGAAGGUCGUAAGAUCGUAAAACUCUUUUCAGGGAUCUUAAAGCCUGUCUGUCAACAACAGGCAGGUCUGACUCUCCCUGGAAGAAGCCCCAACCAACUACGUGCCAGCAGCUGCGGUAAUACGGAGGGUGCAAGCGUUAUUCGGAAUUACUGGGCGUAAAGCGCGUGUAGGCGGUCCUGCAAGUCUGAUGUGAAAGCCCCGGGCUUAACCCGGGAAGUGCAUUGGAAACUGCAGGUCUUGAGUACUGGAGAGGAUGGGGGAAUUCCCGGUGUAGAGGUGAAAUUCGUAGAGAUCGGGAGGAAUAUCAGUGGCGAAGGCGCCCAUCUGGACGGUAACUGACGCUGAGACGCGAAAGCGUGGGGAGCAAACA
rnacentral:rRNA from 1 species